rnacentral:lncRNA from 1 species
AUGCCCGCAGGGCUCGAGGGGGCCUGCCCAGGGCCGCUCUGGGGACCUGGGUGUUGGGGGCCCGGGGCCCGGAGAAGCUCGGGGACCCCUGCGCGAGGUGGGAGGGGUGGGCGGGGGGACCCGGGGCCGCGCUGCGAGUCCGGGACCCUGGGAGGCACGAUGCAGGGGACCCGGAGACGUCCAGUGGAGGGCCCAGGUGGGCUGGAGGUCGCUGCGGAUCCCGGGAGGGUUGAGAAGGCGCGGGAGGGGGCGGAGGUGCAGGCUCCGGGUGCACGGCCGCGGCCUCUGGGUCCCGGGCAGGCCCCGCUGGACCCCGCGCGGCACGGGCGGCCCCUCCCUCCGGGCGGGGCAGGGCUGCGGCAGCCGAUGAGCGCCGGCGGCCCCCGCGAGGCCAAUGAAUGCCCCAGCCCUCGGACGCCCAGCGAGCAGGGGGGAGCCGGCUUCCGAGAGCGCGGGCGGCGCCGGUGGGGGGGCGGCGAGGAACCACUGCCGAGCUCCCCCGCCUCCCGUCCCCCGGCCGCGCCCCCAAGUUUCUCUUCCCAGAACCCGGCUCCGCUGGGACUCUCCGCGGCACGGCUCUCGUUUCUGCUUUCUGCACGGCGCGCAGCCCGGCGGGUGAAGGGAGGCUCCGGGGCGCCCCUCCCCCCGCCGCCCUUCCCGGAGACCCCGUGGCCAGCAGCCGGAGGCUGGGACGCUUCCCUUCUCUGCGGGGUCCCAGACCGCCUCCCCGCCCGGCUCUGCUGGCGCCCGGGUGUGCGCGGUGCCGCUGCCCGGCUCCCCGCCUUCGUUCCCCGAGCCCCGUGGACCGCGCCCCCUCCCGUGCUAGACGCGCGGGACAGAGGAGGAGGUGUGCGGGAGCGGAUCCGGCAGAGACCUGGGCACCCGCAGAGCCACGCCUCACCCCCGCCGGGGAAGCCCAGGGCUAGGGGGCCCUGCAACAGGAGAAGAACCGGGAGGAAUGGGGGUUGGAGGGGACUUCCCGCGAGGGGCGAGGUGCGUGCGAGUCCAACAGCUCUGUCUGCAGCAGGGCAGCGAUGGGGCCCCCUGUGUUUUAGAUAA